GAUGAACGCUGGCGGCGUGCCUAACACAUGCAAGUCGAACGGAAAGACCUCUUUCGGGGGGUACUCGAGUGGGCAACGGGCGGGUGACACGCGAGUAAAUUGCCCUUGACUUUGGCAUAACUUAAGGAAACUGGGGCUAAUACCGAAUAGGAGCUCCUUCUACAUGGUGGGGGCAGGAGAGUUUCGGCGGUUGGCGGUGGACUCGCGGGGUAUCCGCUUGUUAGUGGAGUAGUGGCUUACCAAGGCUUUGCCGGGUAGCCGGACUGUGAGAGUGAGCGGCGACACUGGCACUUAGAGACGGCCGAGACUCGGACUGGAGGCAGCAGUGGGGAAGACUGCACAAUGGGUGGAAGGCUGAUGCAGAAGCGCUGCGUGCGGUAAGACGGUCUUCUUGUUGUAAACCAUUUUCGCUCGUGACGGAGCUUUGUGUGACGGUACUGGGUAAAGAAGCCCCGGCUAACUACGUG
rnacentral:rRNA from 1 species